GACGAACCGUGCGAACGUUGUUCGGAUUCACUGGGCUUAAAGGGCGCGUAGGCGGCUUGCCAAGUCAGGGGUGAAAUCUUUCGGCUCAACCGGAAAACAGCUUCUGAUACUGGCGGGCUUGAGGGAGGUAGGGGCGGAUGGAACUUCCGGUGGAGCGGUGAAAUGCGCAGAUAUCAGGAGGAACACCGGUGGCGAAGGCGGGUCUCUGGGCCGUAACUGACGCUGAGGAGCGAAAGCAUGGGGAGCGAACGGG
rnacentral:rRNA from 1 species